rnacentral:rRNA from 1 species
GAGUGAACGCUGGCGGUAGGCCUAACACAUGCAAGUCGAACGGCAGCACAGUAAGAGCUUGCUCUUACGGGUGGCGAGUGGCGGACGGGUGAGGAAUACAUCGGAAUCUACUUUUUCGUGGGGGAUAACGUAGGGAAACUUACGCUAAUACCGCAUACGACCUACGGGUGAAAGCAGGGGAUCUUCGGACCUUGCGCGAUUGAAUGAGCCGAUGUCGGAUUAGCUAGUUGGCGGGGUAAAGGCCCACCAAGGCGACGAUCCGUAGCUGGUCUGAGAGGAUGAUCAGCCACACUGGAACUGAGAAACGGUCCAGACUCCUACGGGAGGCAGCAGUGGGGAAUAUUGAACAAUGGCGCAAGCCUGAUCCAGCCAUACCGCGUGGGUGAAGAAGGCCUUCGGGUUGUAAAGCCCUUUUGUUGGGAAAGAAAAGCAGCAGGUUAAUACCCCGCUGUUCUGACGGUACCCAAAGAAUAAGCACCGGCUAACUUCGUG